rnacentral:rRNA from 1 species
GACGAACGCUGGCGGCGUGCUUAACACAUGCAAGUCGAACGGAAAGGCCCUGCUUUUGUGGGGUGCUCGAGUGGCGAGCGGGUGAGUAACACGUGAGUAACCUGCCCUUGACUUUGGGAUAACUUCAGGAAACUGGGGCUAAUACCGGAUAGGAGCUCCUGCUGCAUGGUGGGGGUUGGAAAGUUUCGGCGGUUGGGGAUGGACUCGCGGCUUAUCAGCUUGUUGGUGGGGUAGUUGCUUACCAAGCCUUUGACGGGUAGCCGGCCUGAGAGGGUGACCGGCGACAUUGGGACUGAGAGACGGCCCAGUCUCGUACGGGAGGCAGCAGUGGGGAAUAUUGCACAAUGGGCGGAAGCCUGAUGCAGCAACGCCGCGUGCGGGAAGACGGCCUUCGGGUUGUAAACCGCUUUCGCCUGUGACGAAGCGUGAGUGACGGUAAUGGGUAAAGAAGCACCGGCUAACUACGUG